rnacentral:sRNA from 1 species
UAGCGAUUGUAAUGGCAUCCUUUUUUUUGCUGCCGUAUAUGGCAAAAAAAAGAUAUAAUGGAAAGCGCGACCUUUA